GCCCAGCUAGCUCAGUAGGUACAGCACAAGACUCUUGAUCUCAGGGUCGUGGGUUUGAGCCCUACAUUAGGAG